AUACAGAGGUGGCAAGCGUUGCUCGGAAUUACUGGGCAUAAAGGGCGUCUAGGCGGAGCAGCAAGUCGGUUGUGAAAUCCCUCGGCUUACCCGAGGAAGUGCACCCGAUACUGUUGUUCUUGAGGACGAGAGGGGAGAGUGGAACUCCUGGUGGAGCGGUGAAAUGCGUAGAUAUCAGGAGGAACGCCGGUGGCGAAAGCGACUCUCUGGCUCGUUCCUGACGCUGAAGCGCGAAAGCUAGGGGAGCGAACGGGAUUAGAAACCCCAGUAGUCC
rnacentral:rRNA from 1 species